GAGAGAGGACCAGAUGUUCCAUAAAGUGGAUCAGACAACCUUGCCCUCUGAAGUAGACUGUGCCAAACUUCCAAGUACACCCUGCAUAAUUGUGUGUGGAAGUUCCCCUUUGACUGCAGAGAACUUUGUUUUCUGUCGACCAAGUCAUAGUUAACAGCCACAUCACCAUCUUCUGCGAUGCUCUGAAGUUGAUGUUUGCCUCAUACUACUGCUUGAAUAUUUCAUACCCAGGAGACCAAGGGGCAACGCUAGAGUUCGUGCAAAGAUGCUUUUUUAAGAUAAACCCCGAGAAGGGAUCGAAAGUGGAGAAGACCACAUCGAGAAAGCAAUCGGCAGUCAGUCCAAAGGUUCUUUCACUGAUUAACAAGAUUGCGGACUAUGAAUGGAUG